rnacentral:rRNA from 1 species
AACGAACGCUGGCGGCAGGCUUAACACAUGCAAGUCGAACGGUUGUAGCAAUACAGCAGUGGCAGACGGGUGAGUAACACGUGGGAACCUUCCUAGGGGUACGGAACAACUCAGGGAAACUUGAGCUAAUACCGUAUACGUCCGUGAGGAGAAAGAUUUAUCGCCCCUAGACGGGCCCGCGUAGGACUAGGUAGUUGGUGAGGUAACGGCUCACCAAGCCUACGAUCCUUAGUUGAUCUGAGAGGAUGAUCAGCCACACUGGGACUGAGACACGGCCCAGACUCCUACGGGAGGCAGCAGUGGGGAAUCUUGGACAAUGGGCGCAAGCCUGAUCCAGCCAUGCCGCGUGAGUGAAGAAGGCCUUCGGGUUGUAAAGCUCUUUUACCAGGGACGAUAAUGACGGUACCUGGAGAAUAAGCCCCGGCAAACUUCGUGCCAGCCGCCGCGGUAA